CAGUGGCCCGGGCUUCCCUGGCCAGGGCCACCCACGCCGCUCCACGGGAAGACCAGCUUCCCCGUGGGCAGCAGCCCUGGGGUGCUCAGAGAGGAAUCCGGGCCAUUUGCACGGGCCAAGGCGGGGGUGGGACAGCCACAGUCUUCACAAUUUGUUUUUAAAACAAUCGGGCAGCCUUUAGACACCAGCAACAAUGUCCUGUUUAUUUGAAGAAUGAUGGAAUGUUUAACAGCAGUAUUUAUUCACAAUCUGUCUCCGUGAAAAAACAAUAUUUGGUUUCCCAGAGGCUGUGCUGGGGAGGGAAGAAUUCUGGGAAACCAAAGUUGGGUCUGAGCAGCUCUAGCCCAAACAGUCGGGAGCCGUGGCUCUCCACGGCUGCUGGCGAAUCCGGUCACAGGGCAGGGCGCGGCUGCUCGGAGAGACAUCUCCAUCACCCUGGCCCUAGGAAGUCUCCCUUGCUGAACGUCGGAGGAUUUGCAAGCAGGUGUACCCUGAACCAAGUCCCCUCAAACACUGCUCAGCGCAAGGAGCCCCGGAGAGCCUCUGAAAGUGCAGCCUCUGGUCCAGUGACUCGGCCGGGCCCAGGAGUCAGCAGGAGACGCUGGGGCUGCUGAUACAGGGGCCGCACCGGGAGGAGCCGGGCCCCCACGUCCCCUGACUGCAGGCGGCACGGCGCGGGCUCGCUCUUGCACUCUGUGUUUUCUCUCGUGUUGUGCUGUCCACACGCUGAGUGCUGGGGAACACAUCUCCGUGACUGUGACGGGUCGGCCAAGGUUGGCCAAGGUCAUGGCACACACGUGGGUGUAUGAUGAGUUCAUGCUUGCCAAGAGCUCCGGGAAGACCGACUGACCCGUCCUCACAAGGGCGUGGCUAGGACACCGUCCGAGACGGAGCGAAGGGGCUGCCAGGGACAGAUGGAGACUCAGCACGAGGAGGCUGGGAGACACCAGGAUCCCACGUGGAGGGAAGAGCUGAGGCUGGGAGGGGGCUCAGUGGGGGCCGCUGUGGGCAGGCUGCUCCCUGGGGUGGUGGUGAUCCAGCCCUGGAGAGCAGCGAGAGUCCACCCUGCUUCCGGGAGCCCUGAGUGCAGGGUCGCCACUGGACGUCGGGGCCCAGGACGGGGGCGGGGAAGGAGGAUGGUGUGGUGAGCCCGCCUCCUCCGUGUGUGACAUGGGGACAGGCCGAUGGGCAGGAACCUGGGGUUAGUGGGCUCCCUCCGGCCUGCUGUCCCCCUCUUUGAAGUCCAGUUUCCUAGCCGGGCAGCCGGGUCCUGCUGCUGGGGAGCCGUCUUCCACUGCUUUCCCAGUGCAUCAGCAGGGAGCUGGGUCAGAAACGGAGCGGCCAGGACUCAGACCGGCGCCCUGAUGGGAUGCCGGCGCGGCAGGUGACAGCCUAGCCCACUGUGCGGCAGCACCGGCCCCUCGGGUGCGCGUCUCUAAGAACACGGUGUUCUGUCACUCA